ACCUGGCUGGCUCAGUCGGUAGAGCAUGUGACUCUUAAUCUCAAGGUCGUGAGUUCAAGCCCCACACUGGGCA